GGUGGGUAGUUUGACUGGGGCGGUCUCCUCCUAAAGAGUAACGGAGGAGCACGAAGGUUGGCUAAUCCUGGUCGGACAUCAGGAGGUUAGUGCAAUGGCAUAAGCCAGCUUGACUGCGAGCGUGACGGCGCGAGCAGGUGCGAAAGCAGGUCAUAGUGAUCCGGUGGUUCUGAAUGGAAGGGCCAUCGCUCAACGGAUAAAAGGUACUCCGGGGAUAACAGGCUGAUACCGCCCAAGAGUUCAUAUCGACGGCGGUGUUUGGCACCUCGAUGUCGGCUCAUCACAUCCUGGGGCUGAAGUAGGUCCCAAGGGUAUGGCUGUUCGCCAUUUAAAGUGGUACGCGAGCUGGGUUUAGAACGUCGUGAGACAGUUCGGUCCCUAUCUGCCGUGGGCGCUGGAGAACUGAGGGGGGCUGCUCCUAGUACGAGAGGACCGGAGUGGACGCAUCACUGGUGUUCGGGUUGUCAUGCCAAUGGCACUGCCCGGUAGCUAAAUGCGGAAGAGAUAAGUGCUGAAAGCAUCUAAGCACGAAACUUGCCCCGAGAUGAGUUCUCCCUGAGACUUAGAGUCUCCUGAAGGAACGUUGAAGACGACGACGUUGAUAGGCCGGGUGUGUAAGCGCAGCGAUGCGUUGAGCUAACCGGUACUAAUGAACCGUGAGGCUUAACCUUACAACGCCG
rnacentral:rRNA from 1 species